rnacentral:tRNA from 1 species
AUUAGCUCAGCGGAAGAGCGACGGCCUUCUAAGCCGGAUGCCGCAGGUUCGAAUCCUGCA